rnacentral:rRNA from 1 species
UACAGAGGUCUCAAGCGUUGUUCGGAUUCAUUGGGCGUAAAGGGUGCGUAGGCGGCGCGGUAAGUCGGGUGUGAAAUCUCGGGGCUUAACUCCGAAACUGCAUUCGAUACUGCCGUGCUUGAGGACUGGAGAGGAGACUGGAAUUUACGGUGUAGCGGUGAAAUGCGUAGAUAUCGUAAGGAAGACCAGUGGCGAAGGCGGGUCUCUGGACAGUUCCUGACGCUGAGGCACGAAGGUCAGGGGGAGCAAACGGG